GGGAGCCGUAUGCGGGAAAACUGCACGUACGGUUCUGUGAGGGGUUUACAUUGCGAGGUGUAAGUCUACUCGAC
rnacentral:ncRNA from 1 species